rnacentral:rRNA from 1 species
UAGGGAAUUUUUCACAAUGAGCGAAAGCUUGAUGGAGCAAUGCCGCGUGAACGAUGAAGGUCUUUAAGAUUGUAAAGUUCCUUUAUUUGGGAAGAAUGACUUUAGCAGGUAAUGGCUAGAGUUUGACUGUACCAUUUUGAAUAAGUGACGACUAACUAUGUGCCAGCAGUCGCGGUAAUACAUAGGUCGCAAGCGUUAUCCGGAUUUAUUGGGCGUAAAGCAAGCGCAGGCGGAUUGAAAAGUCUGGUGUUAAAGGCAGCUGCUUAACAGUUGUAUGCAUUGGAAACUAUUAAUCUAGAGUGUGGUAGGGAGUUUUGGAAUUUCAUGUGGAGCGGUGAAAUGCGUAGAUAUAUGAAGGAACACCAGUGGCGAAGGCGAAAACUUAGGCCAUUACUGACGCUUAGGCUUGAAAGUGUGGGGAGCAAAUAGGAUUAGAUACCCUAGUAGUCCACACCGUAAACGAUAGAUACUAGCUGUCGGGGCGAUCCCCUCGGUAGUGAAGUUAACACAUUAAGUAUCUCGCCUGGGUAGUACAUUCGCAAGAAUG